ACAUUUUCUAUACAGGUUAUUGUCACUGAUGGCAGCAAUCAACAAAGUUAACUGUAAUAUGAAACAUGUCUGUAUAUUAUUUAGUAUUGUGAUGUUCUAACUGUGAUGUCUUAUAGUUUUUAACCCUGUAGGUACUGGUAUUAACCAUAAUAUCUGACUGUUGUUAACCCUGUAGGUACUGGUAUUAACCAUGAUAUCUGACUGUUAUUAACCCUGUAGGUACUGGUAUUAACCAUGAUAUCUGACUGUUUUUAACCCUGUAGGUACUGGUAUUAACCAUGAUAUCUGACUGUUUUUAACCCUGUAGGUACUGGUAUUAACCAUGAUAUCUGACUGUUUUUAACCCUGUAGGUACUGGUAUUAACCAUGAUAUCUGACUGUUGUUAACCCUGUAGGUACUGGUAUUAACCAUGAUAUCUGACUGUUUUUAACCCUGUAGGUACUGGUAUUAACCAUGAUAUCUGACUGUUAUUAACCCUGUAGGUACUGGUAUUAACCAUGAUAUCUGACUGUUGUUAACCCUGUAGGUACUGGUAUUAACCAUGAUAUCUGACUGUUGUUAACCCUGUAGGUACUGGUAUUAACCAUGAUAUCUGACUGUUGUUAACCCUGUAGGUACUGGUAUUAACCAUGAUAUCUGACUGUUGUUAACCCAGUAGGUACUGCUAUUAACCAUGAUAUCUGACUGUUGUUAACCCUGUAGGUACUGGUAUUAACCAUGAUAUCUGACUGUUGUUAACCCUGUAGGUACUGGUAUUAACCAUGAUAUCUGACUGUGUUUAACCCUGUAGGUACUGGUAUUAACCAUGAUAUCUGACAUGGCCCAGGUGUUUCCCAUGUAGCUGACGACCCUCCCAACUCCGCCCACCGGCAUCCUAAUAAGGAAACAAGAACAAAGAGAGAAUACGGCAGACAGAGUGGGAGGGUCGUCACAGUAGACAACUUCCUCCUUCAUUCUCUCUCUCUCUCUCUCUCUCUCUGUCUUUCUCUCACACCCACACUCACACAUGCACAUACACAAAUGCAUACACAUAUUGUUGUAUGUGUUUGUAGUUCAACAUGAAGUCAGUACAGUUUACAUUGAGCAUACACAUCAUUUCCAAUUCAAAUAUAUUCAACAGAUAUUUACAUGCUGCAAUUUCGGCCUGGUGAUGACAUUCUCAACAGUACCAAACCACCAUUACAUACACUGUAUAGGAGGUGACUGUACCACCAACCAAUGAGUGUAGUAGAGAUACCAAAGGAUGUUACUUAAUCAUCUUUGACAGUUAGUCUUUGUUGUCAAUUUACAUAUAAGCACAAUAACAAAUGCUCUAUUUGACUGCUCCCCUAUAUGGUCCCAAAGAGGGAGGGGAAGUGGAUAUUUUCAGUGGUUCAACCAGCUGUCACUCAAAAUUAUCAACCAAUCAUGUUCAUCCUCACUGGUUAAAGCUGCCCACACUCAAUAUCCACUUGAAUCAGUUUGUAGUGUCACAUCUAUUGUCUGGACAUUAUAAUGACCCAUGUUUGUAGUCCUGGACCUCCUGAACAUGUUGAUGUAUAUUUGGGAGUAAACAGAGGGUCCAAAUCAGCAGAAAGGUGAAAGGAAGGAGGAGUUCUGGAAACUCCCUGAAUUAUCUUGGGGCUGUUACAUAUAAUAUUUAAUAUAUGUUAACAGCUAGUCUUUGUUCUCCACUUCCCCUCUAUGAUCUAUAUCUUCCUGGUAUGACAGCGUCCUGUCCAUCAUCACAAAUAACAAGUCCCGUUCCCUGGACAGGAGGACUGUGUUGAGAUUUACUCUGGACAAGAUGAUCAUGUAGAGACAUGGAAUGACUUAUAUUGUUCUGCAGAAAAUGGUUUAACAAUAACCACUAUAACAAUCUCACACAC